ensembl:lncRNA
UUUCUGUUGUAUAGGAUAGCCUCACUAUGGGUGCAAAUAGAGUGUAUGCAAAGUUUUCUUUCCUUAUAGUACACAGUUAGUUAUAUCAGCAAACAUCUUUGUUUUAUUACUUUCCUUCUUUCACAUUUGAAUUUUCAAUCAAUUGUUGCCUUACCCAAGGACUUCAAGCCAGAUUUUGAAGACUACUCACCAGGUACUUUCAGUAUCAGGCUGCAAGUGACAAAAACGGGGACUGAACGUGUUAUGGUGAAGAAAAUACAUUCUGUUGAGUUAGCUGAAAGUUGACUGUAUCACAAGAACUCACUGCAAGUGGAGUAUGUGAAAUAGAUGCAGGAUCUCUACUAAAAAUGUGGUCUAUAGUUCCUCUUCAGUGAUGGAUAGAAACUUUCUUCUAAUUUCCACAAUAGAUGCACGAUGGUAAAUCAAAUUCUGUUUGAUUUUGUGUUAUUAUGCCCUUUUUUAUAUCAGUUAUCCUCUUGUUUUUUCUUUUAAACAUAUUAUCAAGAAUAAGCAUAUGAUUCCUGCUAGACAAUGGCUGCUCCAAAAGUAAUGCCUCCUAUUUUACUAUGUUGGCCCACCAUAUUAGAGGUGGAUGUUGGUAGCAUGACAGUAGAGGCUUAACCUUCCC